rnacentral:rRNA from 1 species
UCCUACGGGAGGCAGCAGUGAGGAAUAUUGGUCAAUGGCCGCAGGGCUGAACCAGCCAAGUCGCGUGAGGGAUGACGGUCCUAUGGAUUGUAAACCUCUUUUGUCAGGGAGCAAAGGGCGCCACGUGUGGCGCUUUGCGAGUACCUGAAGAAAAAGCAUCGGCUAACUCCGUGCCAGCAGCCGCGGUAAUACGGAGGAUGCGAGCGUUAUCCGGAUUUAUUGGGUUUAAAGGGUGCUCAGGCGGAAUGUCAAGUCAGCGGUAAAAUUUCUGGGGUCAACCACGUCGUGCCGUUGAAACUGGCGUU